rnacentral:rRNA from 1 species
UACGUAGGGGGCAAGCGUUGUCCGGAAUCAUUGGGCGUAAAGAGCGUGUAGGCGGCCCGAUAAGUCCGCCGUGAAAGUCCAGGGCUCAACCCUCGAAUGCCGGUGGAUACUGUCGGGCUAGAGUGCGGAAGAGGCGAGUGGAAUUCCUGGUGUAGCGGUGAAAUGCGCAGAUAUCAGGAGGAACACCUAUUGCGAAGGCAGCUCGCUGGGACGUAACUGACGCUGAGACGCGAAAGCGUGGGGAGCAAACAGG